rnacentral:lncRNA from 1 species
CACUCUCCAAACCCAAUUUGUAUGGCGAUUCCCCUUUGAAGAGGCAUCAAGAUUCAUCUGUCACCUAAGGACCCUACCUUAGCUCUUGACCCUUCUUGGCUUGCACAAGUCAUGAUUCACCAUGAAUCUUGACCAUGUCAUUGAGGAACCCUAAAAUCCAAAGUUUGUUCAUGCCUCACACCUUUGAAAUAUCUCAUUAUGACCCUCACAUCACCAAACCCUAAUUCAU